rnacentral:rRNA from 1 species
UAGGGAAUCUUCGGCAAUGGGGGCAACCCUGACCGAGCAACGCCGCGUGAGUGAAGAAGGUUUUCGGAUCGUAAAGCUCUGUUGUAAGUCAAGAACGGGUGUGAGAGUGGAAAGUUCACACUGUGACGGUAGCUUACCAGAAAGGGACGGCUAACUACGUGCCAGCAGCCGCGGUAAUACGUAGGUCCCGAGCGUUGUCCGGAUUUAUUGGGCGUAAAGCGAGCGCAGGCGGUUUGAUAAGUCUGAAGUUAAAGGCUGUGGCUCAACCAUAGUUCGCUUUGGAAACUGUCAAACUUGAGUGCAGAAGGGGAGAGUGGAAUUCCAUGUGUAGCGGUGAAAUGCGUAGAUAUAUGGAGGAACACCGGUGGCGAAAAGCGGCUCUCUGGUCUGUAACUGACGCUGAGGCUCGAAAGCGUGGGGAGCGAACAGGAUUAGAUACCCUGGUAGUCCACGCCGUAAACGAUGAGUGCUAGGUGUUGGAUCCUUUCCGGGAUUCAGUGCCGCAGCUAACGCAUUAAGCACUCCGCCUGGGGAGUACGACCGCAAGGUUGAAAC